GACGAACGCUGGCGGCGUGCUUAACACAUGCAAGUCGAACGGAAAGGCCCUGCUUUUUUGGGGUGCUCGAGUGGCGAACGCGUGAGUAACACGUGAGUAACCUGCCCUUGACUUUGGGGUAACUUCACGAAACUGGGGCUAAUCUCGGAUAGGAGCUCCUGCUGCAUUGUGGGCGUUGGAAAGUUUCUGCGGUUGGGGAUGGACUGGCGGCUUAUCAGCUUGUUGGUGGGGGAGUUGCUUACCAAGGCUGUGACGGAUCGGCGGCCUGUGAGGGUGACCGGCGACAUUGGGACUGAGAUACGGCGCAGAGUGCUAUGGGAGGCAGCAGGGGGAAAUAUUGCACAGUGGGCGGAAGCCUGAUGCGACAACGCCGGGUGCGGGAUGACGGCCUUCGGGUUGAAAACCGCUUUCGCCUGAUACGAAGCGUGAGUGACGGUAAUGGGUAAAGAAGCACCGGCUAACUACGUG
rnacentral:rRNA from 1 species